rnacentral:rRNA from 1 species
CGGAAUUAGAGACCGGCGCACGGGUGCGUAACGCGUAUGCAAUCUACCUUUCACAGAGGGAUAGCCCAGAGAAAUUUGGAUUAAUACCUCAUAGUAUAUCGAGUUGGCAUCAACAUGAUAUUAAAGUCACAACGGUGAAAGAUGAGCAUGCGUCCCAUUAGCUAGUUGGUAAGGUAACGGCUUACCAAGGCAACGAUGGGUAGGGGUCCUGAGAGGGAGAUCCCCCACACUGGUACUGAGACACGGACCAGACUCCUACGGGAGGCAGCAGUGAGGAAUAUUGGACAAUGGGCGCAAGCCUGAUCCAGCCAUGCCGCGUGCAGGAUGACGGUCCUAUGGAUUGUAAACUGCUUUUGCACAGGAAGAAACACUACUUCGUGAAGUAGCUUGACGGUACUGUGAGAAUAAGGAUCGGCUAACUCCGUGCCAGCAGCCGCGGUAAUACGGAGGAUCCGAGCGUUAUCCGGAAUCAUUGGGUUUAAAGGGUCCGUAGGCGGUUUAGUAAGUCAGUGGUGAAAGCCCAUCGCUCAACGGUGGAACGGCCAUUGAUACUGCUAAACUUGAAUUAUUAGGAAGUAACUAGAAUAUGUAGUGUAGCGGUGAAAUGCUUAGAGAUUACAUGGAAUACCAAUUGCGAAGGCAGGUUACUACUAAUGGAUU